GUGGGGAAUAUUGGGCAAUGGGGGAAACCCUGACCCAGCAACGCCGCGUGAAGGAAGAAGGUUUUCGGAUCGUAAACUUCUAUCCUUGGUGAAGAUAAUGACGGUAGCCAAGAAGGAAGCCCCGGCUAACUACGUGCCAGCAGCCGCGGUAAUACGUAGGGGGCAAGCGUUGUCCGGAAUGAUUGGGCGUAAAGGGCGCGUAGGCGGCCUGGUAAGUCUGGAGUGAAAGUCCUGCUUUUAAGGUGGGAAUUGCUUUGGAUACUGUCGGGCUGGAGUGCAGGAGAGGUAAGCGGAAUUCCCGGUGUAGCGGUGAAAUGCGGAGAGAUCGGGAGGAACACCAGUGGCGAAGGCGGCUUACUGGACUGUAACUGACGCUGAGGCGCGAAAGUGUGGGGAGCAAACAGGAUUAGAUACCCGAGUAGUCC
rnacentral:rRNA from 1 species